GCAUUAGUGGUGUAAUGGUUAACAUGUGGUCUUCCCAUUCUAGUUUGGCCGUGUUCGGGGUUCGAUUCCCCGCUAAUGCA